rnacentral:rRNA from 1 species
UACAGAGGUCUCAAGCGUUGUUCGGAUUCAUUGGGCGUAAAGGGUGCGUAGGCGGCGCGGUAAGUCGGGUGUGAAAUCUUGGAGCUUAACUCCGAAACUGCAUUCGAUACUGCCGUGCUUGAGUACUGGAGAGGAGACUGGAAUUUACGGUGUAGCGGUGAAAUGCGUAGAUAUCGUAAGGAAGACCAGUGGCGAAGGCGGGUCUCUGGACAGUUCCUGACGCUGAGGCACGAAGGUCAGGGGAGCAAACGGG